AAUAGAUACCCAGGUAGUCCACGCCGUAAACGAUGAGUGCUAAGUGUUAGGGGGUUUCCGCCCCUUAGUGCUGCAGCUAACGCAUUAAGCACUCCGCCUGGGGAGUACGGUCGCAAGACUGAAACUCAAAGGAAUUGACGGGGGCCCGCACAAGCGGUGGAGCAUGUGGUUUAAUUCGAAGCAACGCGAAGAACCUUACCAGGUCUUGACAUCCCGGUGACCGCUAUGGAGACAUAGCUUUCCCUUCGGGGACAGCGGUGACAGGUGGUGCAUGGUUGUCGUCAGCUCGUGUCGUGAGAUGUUGGGUUAAGUCCCGCAACGAGCGCAACCCUUGAUCUUAGUUGCCAUCAUUUAGUUGGGCACUCUAAGGUGACUGCCGGUGAUAAACCGGAGGAAGGUGGGGAUGACGUCAAAUCAUCAUGCCCCUUAUGACCUGGGCUACACACGUGCUACAAUGGAUGGUACAAACGGUUGCCAACCCGCGAGGGGGAGCUAAUCCGAUAAAACCGUUCUCAGUUCGGAUUGUAGGCUGCAACUCGCCUA
rnacentral:rRNA from 1 species